UAUCCAAAAUCCAGGGAGCAGGAUGUGGCACUAUUCCGCUGUUUUACUACAUAACAAAGCAUGGAUUGGAUCCUGAUGAAGAUUUUUUCUUUCAACAAUUUGGCGACCCAGAUGGGACUUCAAGCUAACAUCUCCAGUGGACUGAGACUGAAAGCGGGGAGGGGACCCUGUUCUCAUGUCUUUCAGCCUUGCACAGAUGACUCCCAUAACCUUUGGAAGAAGAGCACACUGCAGAGAAGACCCUCCAUUCAUUUCAGCCAUGGAAUUGGAUUUGAAUCCAGACAUCCACUAGAAAGCCACAAUGCCAUCAGAGUGGAACAGAUCUUCCCAAGUCCUACCAUCCCUCCCCCCCCAAGAUGCCUGUGAAAGGAGGAAGGAAGGAGUCCUGGAGCCAUUGGCCCUCAUGUGAAGCCUCAGAGGACAACUGGAAAGACUAUAGGGGAGGGCAGAAACUCAUUGUAAGGUUUUCUUUCUUGCCUCAUUUGUAUUGUAAUAAGCCAUUUGAAUGUAUUCAUGGAGGGAUGACAUUUGGGAAUGGUUGACACAGCAAGUAUUGAACACCUUGGUUCUUGUUCGUGGCACUAAAGCUUUGCAUACACAACUUCCUGCAAAUUCCAGGGGGAAUCAGGGCCCCCUCAGGUGAUUUGCAAUUCAUAUGCCCUUACUGAGGAGGUAACAGGAAAGAGAUCUGCAAACCCAAGCCCUGAAUAUGUUGCACUGGUGGACUCAUAGUGAGAGUCCUAGGGCUCACUAUGUGCAAUUUAAUAGCCUGGCUUGCACAGUGGUUAACCUCAAUUGAACAUCACAAACCUGGAUGCACUGAACUAAGUGCUAAGGCAGGAAACAACCCUUGAAAAUGGGCAGCUAGUGGUUAUGUACUGAGGCAAACAUGGCUGUGAAGAAUUUUGGAGGCAUGUGCUUCAAAAACAACAACAACACUGACUGGAAGCUCAAAGUGACAUCCAACAUCUGAAAAUAAUUGGCACAGAAUAUUGGACACUAUAAAUUUCUUUUCCAUCUAACAGAACUUUUGCUCUGACUUUUAGACCCUUAUGGGUUGGAGGCACCCCCUUUUUGGAGCCACUGCAGGAAUCUUUUCUGCUGCCUCUAUUAGUAUCUCCCCUUUUUGCGCUAAGAGUUUAAAAGCUUGUUAAUCAAGUCGCCCUGACCAGAUCAAUUUUAAUCUUGUGCCAGUAAAAGUGUGUCAUUCACACUUAUAUGGCACAAAGGGUGAAGACAGCACCCCCUCACAGAGAAAAAAAUAUUUUAGGGAUAUUGAAAAGGACAGAAUAUUAUUUUUUCCCAAAAGAAUAAUGGAGAAGAUAUUUAAAAGCCAGAAACUUCUCCCCCCCCCCAGUCAUAAACCCAGGCAGAAGUCAGCUCAGUAGAUAAUCCUUUCAAGAAGGUUGGAGAGCCAGGAAGCUGGAGCUAAUAUGACCUUUAGGACAUAAUAGGAUUAACCCACUACCAUCAGAAUACUAGCAAGGCACACUCAGACUCAGGUCAAAGUACAUGACACAGGAAAUACAAA